ACUGUUCCCUGGGAUUGGCUUUGGGCCUUUCCUACGCAGCUUAGGUGGAAGGCAAAGAAGGCCCCCUUCCAGGGGGGAGGGCGAGCCAUCAGUGAGAUACCACUCUAGAAGAGCUCGGAUUCUAACCUUGUGUCGGACCCACGGGCUAAGGGACAGUCUCAGGUAGACAGUUUAUAUGGGGUGUAG
rnacentral:ncRNA from 1 species